rnacentral:lncRNA from 12 species
CUUUGACUGCUUCUAGUGAAACAGCAUUCUUUGAUUUCACAGACUUUCAGACCAACCAUUGGACACAAGACCUCUUGAGCCUGAAGGUACGUGUCAGAGCAGUCUUCAGGAAGCAUCAAGAAAUCUCCGUGAGGUUCGGACAUCUUUUGUGAAAGGAGAUUGGAAAAAGGCAAUAAAAUGGCAACUCUUCUGAAGAUAAGAAAAAGAUCAGGGUAGGAGCCUGAGCUAGCAAAUAUUUACAGAUACCCACAUUAUAUAAUGG